CCUGAAGGAAGGUGUCCCAGAGCUUGGGGGCAAGGUUGGGAAAGGGGUCGCUCUGUGGGGGCAGCGGCACGGGCUUUGGAGCCCGACAGACACGGGUUAGAGCCCUGGUUCCUGCCACCUCCUGCCAGUGGGGCCCUGAGAGAUGAGAAAAAGGAGACCUAGAGAGGGUAGCUACCUGUGAGUGUCUGAUUCAAGACCCCUGCCCUGGACCACCCUGCUCUUCGGCUGCUGCCCCCGAGGAGGACGGCUGGGAGACACGAUGGGGCGGGUGAGAUGAAAGUACAGGACAGAUUUCAAGAGGUUCAAAGACAAAGGGUUUUUCAAGCUGACUUUGGCAUCCUCCAUGUGGUUCACAAAGCAGACGGUUCCUACAGCUUUGAUGGACAGGCGAGUUGAAGGGUCCA